AUGCGAAGGCGAAAGUCACGGGGCGAUUCACACUGGUGCUUUGACAUCAGGAAGCCUUAUCUGGAGGGAUCGGAGCAUCUGAAAGAUGAUUGUCUUACCAUCAGGUGCGAUGUCACCGUCAUGAAGGAGAUCCAUGGCGAAGAAGCAAGGGUUCCUCCAAGCGACCUGCAGCAGCAUCUUGGCGACCUACUCAAGAACCAGGACGCAGCAGACCUAACCUUUCAAGCCGAGCUCCUCGGCGCCAUGGAGGAGAGUUCCUCUGGUCAUAUGGAAAUCUGUGACAUGGAAGCUGAUGUUUUCAAGUCCUUGCUCCAUUUCAUUUACACCGACUCGGUUCCUCCAGUGCUUGAUGUGGUGAUGGCCGGCCAUCUGCUCGUGGCGGCUGACAGGUACAACAUCGGCAGGCUGAGGCAGAUCUGUGAGGAAAAAUUGUGCAAUAACAUUGCUGCCAACAUGGUGGCAACCAGCUUGGCUUUAGCGGAGCAGCAUGUUUUCCAUGAUCUCAAAGAAGCUUGCUUCCAGUUCCUUGCUUCUCCGUCCAAUUUGGAGGCGAUGAUGGCAAGCGAAGGUUAUGAGCAUCUCAAGUCCAGCUGCCCAUCUGUUCUCAAGGAGCUAAUAGCUAGAAUCCUCCCGGCUGAAUGGAACGCGGCUAAGGAUAUUGUCAUGACAAUGUGGAAGUAA
rnacentral:rRNA from 1 species